UGAGAUUACGAUUACAGUCCUGUGUCACCUGGCCCCAUUUGUAUAACGCUGGAGACGAGACGGAACCCAGGGCUCCAUGGAUGGUCUCCAGCUGAAGAUGUGACCCAGAUUAAAGGUUCCACAUGAGAGCACUUGCCACAUGUCCUGUCACUGAGGUGUUCCUACCGAAGGUAUAUGCAGUAUGCCUGGAUCUUACCCACUGAACCACCUCCAAACCUCUUAUAUUAGUGUAUCGUCAUCAUCACCAUCAUCACCAUCAUCAGCAUCAUCACCAUCAUCAGCAUCAUCACCAUCAUCAGCAUCAUCAGCAUCACCACCACCACUACCACCAACAUCAUCUGAAGAAUUGUAUUUGUGACAGGAUCUUAUGUAGUCAUGGCUGGUCUCAAAC